rnacentral:rRNA from 1 species
AUUGAACGCUGGCGGCAUGCCUUACACAUGCGAGUCGAACGGCAGCACGGGAGCAAUCCUGGUGGCGAGUGGCGAACGGGUGAGUAAAGUAUCGGAACGUGCCCAGUCGUGGGGGACAACGUAGCGAAAGUUACGCUAAUACCGCAUACGAUCUAUGGAUGAAAGCGGGGGAUCGCAAGACCUCGCGCGAUUGGAGCGGCCGAUAUCAGAUUAGAUAGUUGGUGGGGUAAAGGCUCACCAAGCCGACGAUCUGUAGCUGGUCUGAGAGGACGACCAGCCACACUGGGACUGAGACACGGCCCAGACUCCUACGGGAGGCAGCAGUGGGGAAUUUUGGACAAUGGGCGAAAGCCUGAUCCAGCCAUGCCGCGUGCAGGAUGAAGGCCUUCGGGUUGUAAACUGCUUUUGUACGGAACGAAAAGGUUUGGCCUAAUAAGCUGAGCUCAUGACGGUACCGUAAGAAUAAGCACCGGCUAACUACGUGCCAGCAGCCGCCUAA